rnacentral:rRNA from 1 species
UGGGGAAUAUUGGACAAUGGGCGAAAGCCUGAUCCAGCAAUACCGCGUGAGUGAUGAAGGCCUUAGGGUUGUAAAGCUCUUUCAGUAAUGAAGAUAAUGACAUUAAUUACAGAAGAAGCCCCGGCUAACUUCGUGCCAGCAGCCGCGGUAAUACGAAGGGGGCUAGCGUUGUUCGGAAUUAUUGGGCGUAAAGAGCGUGUAGGCGGUUUAGCAAGUUGAUAGUGAAAUCCCAAAGCUUAACUUUGGAAUUGCUCUCAAAACUACUAAGCUAGAGUUCGGUAGAGGGUGAUGGAAUUCCUAGUGUAGAGGUGAAAUUCUUAGAUAUUAGGAGGAACGCCGAAAGCGAAAGCAGUCACCUGGGCCGCUACUGACGCUGAGACGCGAAAGCGUGGGGAGCAAACAGG